UCAGUAUGUUUCAAUGUUUUGUCUGUGGCAAUCUGGUCCUGAAAGUAUUCACUUUUACACAGGAGUCUACAGAAUCAGGAUGAUACUAAAAUGGAGUCUAACACUGAACCUUGGAGAAACUUUGAUGUCUUUUCUCUCAGCCGCUGCAGUUCCUCUAGUGCAUAGAGCUUGAUGACAAGAGCACAGAUUUGGUGUCAGCCUCCAUUUGCCAGGGCUUCCAUGGUGGCUAAGCUGGCAAAGAAAACAGUUGUCAAAUAUAAAAGGGACAAGUUACAUGUCUUUUCUCAAGAAGGACAAAAAAUAACAACACUGCAAUCUCUCAAAAGAAAAUGCAACCAAUUUACUUCCUUGUAAAUAGAAAUAAGGAACAAAGAGUAAAGAGAUCUUCUUACCUUUACCCGAGAUACAAUGAAAUAUGAAAGAACUCAGAAAAGUCAGGGAAGUUUUAUGAUAUCAACAUCUCGUUUUGUAUCUGUCUGGGUCCAAUCAGGAGAGAAGUCACACAGUAAUCUGAUAGGAAAGUUUAAUAAAAGACAUAAAAAGAAUGAAUAAACAUAUGCUAUUCCUAAAUGCCUUGGAUCCAUUCCACACCACAUUUUGGCCUCUGUUCUUUGACUAGCCCAGGAGUUGAAAAUUCCUCAGAAUUCAGAAACAGGCCCCAACAAGCAGGGGGAGAAGCAGACAUAAUCGUCUCCAUCCCUGCCUCAAAAAGCCCGAGACUUCAUCACUGUUGGCUGCGUGAGCUCUCAUUGCUGCGUGGCCUCUUCUGGGCUUCUCUUGCUGCAGAGCCGGGCCGGGUGUGGACUCCAGGAGCUGCGCGUGUGGGCUCAGUAGCUGGAGAGCUCGGGCUCGGGAGCUGCGGGUCCCGGGCUCUGGAGUGCAGGCUCAA